rnacentral:lncRNA from 1 species
UUUUUUUUUUUUUGUUGUUUGGAGAAAAUAUUGGGAGUGCUUGACACACUUGUUAUAGCAGCUAUAUUACUGUACAUUGGGGUAGGAGGAAUAGGUUGAACCCCAGUGAGUCAUUUAGCGUGUCAACAAAUAUUAUGGUGAAAAAACUAAAAGAAGGAAAUACUAGUCAAAGAGCGCUAAUAGCUUUACAUUCUACAAUGACGUCUACAAUAAGAAAAAGAAGCCUUGUAAUCCCUACUUUACUCCAUCUCCCACAUGCAUGGGUUGACCCAAAAUUCCAUAUACAAAAUUCUCUCUCUCUCUCUCUCUCUCUCUCAUACGUACGUGCACAAAAUGAAACCGAUGCCUGCGUGCACAUGCGGAUCACACACAAAUAGAGUAGUACUAAUUGAAUGAUCAAACAAAGAUAAAGGAAAUUGUAUUGGAAAGAUGGAUUGGCAGUACUUUGAUUAAUGAUGAUAAGCAAAUGAUCAAGUCCAAAGAGACUCUCUUUUAAGAGGGUCUUGGAUUACAUUGCUAGGAGAAGCAAAGCUGCUGAAGUAUUGAUGUGGAAUGCUAUUGAUGUCACUGUUGGAUAAAAGAAGGGACUUCUGGUCAUGAUCUUGAUGAUGGUGUUGGUGUUGGUGUUGAUCAAUCUGGGUUGGUAAGGCUACAGGUUCCUGUUGCAUCUGGAUGCAAAGUAUCUCUGCCUGAGCCACUGCAAGCUGCAUUUGCAGCUGAGAAACUUGAUUCUGCAGGAAAGAAAUUGCCCCAACGCACCCGUAUACCGGGUCUCUCACUCUUGCAUUUGCUUCAUAAACCAAACUGCUCACAGCAUCUCCUCUUUGAUGAAUGGGAAGCUCCUGAAUGAACAGGAAAUCAUAACUUAUUAGACACAUAAAAAACCUAAUUUUGUAAUUGUUCUUUGUUUGAACUCAUCUCUUGUCACUAGUUUAACGAUAUCAGAAAUAUGCAACAAAUAAGAAGUAUAAGCAUUGAUCAAGGGGAUGCUUGCACUUCUAUGGAUGAGAGCAAAUAACAUGCCAUCAAUUAAUUGUGAUGGUCUUGUUUGCAGUACCCUUCCAUAAAAGUGCAUGAAGCGAGUGCAAAUAGCGUUUUCUCACAACCUUUUUCAUUUGUGAGCUUUCAUGUUUAUUUAUAUCUACUAAGUCUCAUUUAAUUUAUUCAAUUCAAAAACCAUAAAUAAACAGGGGUCUGCAGGGGGAGAAAAAGGGGGUGUGGAAAUUCAAGUUUAGAGAGAGUAAGAAACCUGCAACAUUUUGCUGACAUUGCUAGCACCAAAGACCUUGUGAACAAUGGCAAACUUAUGAGGGUCAUCAGAAGGGAAGUAAGGGGCAAAGAUGCAGUCUUUGGCGCACCGGCGCCUCAACAACUUGCAAGAAGCACACGGGGAAGAGCCCGAUCCCAUAUUUUACCCUAAAAAGAACAACCCCAAAAAAGAAAUGUUUCCCUCUGAAGAACUGCGUGAUUAAGAAAAGCUGGAAAGCUCUUUCUUACUACUGAAAAGUUGUAACAAAAGGGAGCUUAGUAGUGUUCAAGCCAAAGAACUGAAACUGCAUAUUUAUAUUGGUUCAAGGAUGGUAGCCUUAAGGUAGAAUGGUUCCACAUGCUUCGCCAUUAAAAUAAUAUUAUCAUCACAAUUAACAAUCAUAAAACAAAUUCAGACUUAAAAUAACUAGAAUCUGGAUAUCCCCAACUAGGCAAAUUAGCAAUUUCGUAUGUGAAAUUACGACGAUUAUAGCCAUGAAGCGUGACAGAUUUGAAUGUGAUUAGCAAGGGCAACUAGGUCAAAUUGGAGGGAAUAGAUUCUUCUCUAGUUGACCACCGCCUAGGCUCGUGAAUUGUAUGAUAUAUAUUUGCACAUAUGUAGGUUGGCAAAAGCCAUGCAGUUGUGUAGUUCUCACGUUCUGGUUUGACUCUUCAAUUUCUAUCUUCUGCUGCACUGUGUGUAUUGGUAUAAGCAAAAACUAGUAAGAGAAGAAGAAAAAAAAAGGAUUAAUUAUUGAAAACGAAUAUUAAAUUAGAGAUUAAUUUGAAAGCCAUUAAUUGGGGAGAGAGGUUAACUAAGGUUAGGGUUUUAGAAAGAGAGAGAAAUUGAAAGGGAUGUGAAACCCUAACCGGGACCAAGACACCGAGAGAGAUGGACUCAACGACGUGAAUGUUUGUUGGCAGACAUUCACAUGGAAACAUACAUUUUCACAACAUUUCUAUCUCACAGCCCCCAACGCCUACAUUAGAACUUUUGAAUCUUCGAUCAAUGCUCUCACUCACCCAAAAUAUAUUAAUUUCUAUUAAGUUUAUGUUUACCAAAUAUAAUGGAUUUUAUUUUUUCAAACAAAUAUAAUGGAUUUAGUUUGUCUUGUUUUUUUCAUGCAGCUAUGUUGACCAACCACAAAUAUUCUUUACAUACCAAAAACAUAAAACCUACCAUUCUUUAAAUAUCAAAUAUACAUAUAUGUUAGCCCCUUUUCCGGAAAUAGAAAAAAAAAAAAAAGAUUAGACCUCACCAGUCAUUAGACUCAUCAUAACGAUUAAACCAAACGCGUUUAUUUUCAUGUUACUUAAAAUUUGCAAAAAUUAUUGGAUCCUCAAGAGUUCCUAUACAGAUCUUGAAUAAAAUUCAUACAAUGUUAUUUAAAGGGAAGGCCUACAGACAUUAUGCGGAUUAUCUCUUUCUCUAAAUGGUACAAUCCUACAAGUAAAGUUUCAGCAAGAAAGAUUUUUAACCCCAACUUUAAUGAGCAUUUUCGGGGACUAGCCCCACAUCAAUUUUGAAAAUAAAGUUCAUGACGACUUCAUAGAAAAAUGGUAAUUUUGCCAUUGUUUUUCCCUACCAGAUUGUGACUGCUAUAUAUGCACAUGUUUUUGUUUGGCGUUAUGUAAACUCAUGUUUAUCGUUUCUGAUGGACCCAUGUGUAGAUUAUACUCUAAAAUUCAUCGGCAACAAUGAACUGGUAUAAUUCUUCACAUCCUUAAUACUCCUUCACGUGUGACGAAACUUUAAAACCUAACAUGUAGACAAAGCACAUAUGGCCAUUGAGCUAGGGUAAACAAACUCCAAUAUCAUAAUGAAAAUUAACGUUACUACAAAACCAAUUAGCAACUAGUAGAAUAGCAAACUUCUGUUGGCAAUUGGUAGACCUUACUUUCAUGAAGUAGCUAGAAAUUGCACAGCUUAGCUUGUAAACUAGUAAGUUCCUAAGGCAUAUGCACCAAUCCAUCUACCACAGUCAUGCAAGGCAUGAAACAUUUUAUUUUAAUUCAAACCUAACAGAUAUAUAAUUAAUCAAGUACAAACUUAUAUAUAUCGAAUUCAAUUUAUUGAGAGAAAAAAUAAAAAGAAAUACAAGUUGUAAACUAUUUUUUUGGCACAAUGCAUGCAUGUUCAAACAUUGCAUGGCCGCAAACCAUCCAUGAAUUAACACGUCACACGAGUGACCAGUACUACUAAGUUUUAUCUAAUUUAAAAAAAUCCUCAAUCACAUGUAUACGUUGUAUUAAAAAUAAAUAAGCAUAUUAGAUAAUACUAAACCUCCACAGAGAAAUUAAUGUGACCCAAUUAAUGAGAUCCGACAUGAAGCAAAGGCUUAAGAAAUUAAUAAAAAGGAAACCCGUUUCGAGAGAGAUUGAAACUAAAACAAAUAGCAGUUGUGAAACCCUAAGACCUCUUCUCACUCUCUUGCAUUUAAUGAUCUCCACAUGAUUCCAAGCUUCUAAUCUUUUGUUCCGAGGAAAACAGCUCUCUUCCCCUAGCUAGUUGUCAUGGCAUAUGUUUAUAUAUAUCCGUUUUUCGUUUUUUAUUAUUAAGUCGUAGCAUCAAUUAAUAUAUCUUAAAGUAUAAAUAAUGCCUGUGUUUUCAAUUAGACACUCAUCUCUGAUCUCUCACACAAUAUAUGUAUAUAUGUGUGUGUUAUUCUAAUAUUGUAAUGGGGGCGAUAAUGUGAAGUUAUUUGCCACUUAAAACUAGAGUCUCAUAACUAAUAUUCUUUUCUAUUUAUCAGUGAGAGAGUUUUAGAUUCGACUACUGAGGCCUGGAAAACGGGUCAUGUUGUCGCAUUUGUAUCAUUUUGUCAUACUUCGUAUCGUAUCAAAGAACAAGUGAAUUAAUAAGGACUCGAUUCGUUACAGAUUAUGUUGUUUCUUGUUGGUUUAAUGGGUCAUGCAAGAAAUUGUCAUGCCUAAUGGCCAAUGUCUAAACCUGACAAACUGGUGACCCGACAAACAGAUCGUGUUCGUAUCGAGGUAAUAGGUCUGAAAAGAAAUUGUCAUGCCUAAUGUCUAAACCUGACAAACGGGUCAUUUAUGUGUCAUACCCGUCAUCUUAAUGGGUUCUUAAUGUGUGAUCCGAUAACAAACCAAAUCAUUAAAGGUCGGUUCUAAACGGAUGACCCAAUAAUGACUCGACUCAUUAACAGUCUGACAGAGGAUGAUAAGUUCAAUACUAAAUUAUUAUGACUUGUUCAUUAUGUGGGGCUAUAACGUUGAUUUUUUUUUACACUUAAAUAAUAUUCUUCUCUACUUACAAGUAAGAGGUUUUAAAUUCAACUACUAUAUGGAUGACAAGUUUGAUACUAAAUUAUUAUGGUUGGUUUAUUAUGUGGCGUACUUAAAUCCCUCAUCCCUCAGUAUUUGAGGUUCUACUAUAAACCCAUUAACAAUACAGUAGGUAACCCAACAACUUAUAAGCAUAUAUAGACCUAGUUUGGGAGUGAGGUGCUUAAAAAAAAAAGCACCCAUGAAAAAAAAGCUGUGAGAGUUUUAGGUGUUUGGUAAACUGAAAAAAAAAAGGCUUAUUUUAGAAGCUGCUGUAAGAAUAAGCUGAAAUCAAAGGAAAAAGCUGAAGCUGCUAUUUGUAGCUUUGGAAAACUGGCUUUUUUUCAAAGCACACGGAGCUACAGUGCUUCUUUAAUGAAAAGACCCACUAUCAGACUGCUUUUUUUUUCCAAAAGCACUUUUACAAAAAAGUUUACCAAACACUCAGCUGAUUUAUUUCACAGCCGCUUAUUCUCACAGCACAGCCGCUUAUUCUCACAGCAGCUUUUUUUCAAAGCACAGCAAUACCAAACCAGCCCAUAGAGUCUCUUCUUUCCCUAAUGAGCAAUUAUUACUUUCAACAAAUACAUCAUAUGAAGAAGAAAAAAAUGUUGAAUUUCUUUCUUCUUCGGCAAUAUAUUAUUCCUCUGCUUUCUUCAUUUCAUCAACACAUUACCACAGAAAACGCGUAUAUAUUUUUAAUUAAUAUUAUACAAGUUUCAGUUUUGUGUUUCAAGUUUCAAACCCUAAGGUCUAGGAAGAAGAAAAACUUCUACGCUCUAGACGGUGAGAUCUAUGUGAAGUUUUUGUUUUACUGUAUAUUUUAAGCAAAUGAAUAAAGUAGAGGAAAAACAGACAUCUUUCAUCAACUUAGAGGAAAAUAAAACAUGCAACCUCCGAUGCAAACAUUGAAUGCAAUUGCCUUGGUCAUAUGGAAGAUUCGAUUCUUGAGAUAUAUGCAUGCAGGUUUUCUUAAUAUAUAUUCUAAAAUGGUGGAUAACAUUAGAAGCCAUAUAAGUUGGACAAUGGCACCCUCAAACUUCGGUCAUAUGGUGCUAUCCUCACCUCAAUUUCAAUUUCAAUUGCUUGAACAGAGUGGUGUUGGAUUUCCGAUGCUUCCAUUUUCCCACUAUCAACUCAAAACAACGAAAAUAACUAUAUAUGUUUGGGUUUGCAUUCUUAAAACGAGUCAUAUUCUCUUCUUUUUUUCUACAAAAUUACAACCACAAUUUGACAUAUUAGUAAAAGUAACUCAUUAAAAGUAUGUAAAAAGAAAUAUAUAUAUUCAUACACGCGUGUUAAACUGUGCAUGGUUAAUAUGUAAACAAAUAAAAAUAAGUAUUUUCAGCUUAAAAAUAUUAGGGCAAAUAUGAUGCGGCCGGUAAAAGCUAGGCCACGUUAAUUAUCAGUAUAGCCAUAACUUUCAGUUACAUAACUUUUUUCAUAGAAGCGAGAAAUAGAAAAAUUAAACCUAGCACUUCUGCAGUAUGAUUAAUUGCUCUCAAACACUUAAACUACAAGUGUGUUGCAAGUACAUAAGUUUUGAUUUCAAAAUUCUACGUAGUACCCAAAAGACCAUUGCCAACAUAAACUAUACAUAGUGUGUAAAAUGGAAAUUACUAACGCACUUUGUUUUGUCUUACUGCACUUUUUUUUUCUAGCAUUUAAAUUGAAUGAAUUAAAAAAUAAUCAAGAGACGGAAGUAAAUAGGAGAGACUCUUGUGUGCAACACCAGAUGAGGGGUGGUGUGAAAGGGGUGAACUAGAAGUGGACAAGGACUAGCAUGACAAAUUAGAGAAGGGUGAUGUUAUCUACACAUCAUUUUUUACGUUCCACAUACUCCUCUCAUUUUCAAGUUGAAUAAAUUGAGAAGAGUAAAAAAAAAAAAAUUAACAGGGGGUGUAUAGAAGGUAAGAAAGGGUGUGUGGCUAGCACCACCCAAAAAAAAAAGAGUAGAAUAGGUGCAUUUUUUGGUGUCUGAAGCCGCACGGACACGUGGUUCGACUGUCGGACCCAGAAUUUCUUAGAAAAUAGGAGUUGAGAUUCUCUCUAGAUCUCUGUGUCCGGAGCAUACGAAUCGAAAAAGCCGGGCCGUCAAGGGAGAGAGAGAUCUUACUCGUCAAGGGUUUGGUUUUAUAUAAAGUGGGCCAAUGAGAAUUGCAUAAUUUAAAUUAAGUGGUCUAAAUUUUCAAAUUCAUUGAAAUGAAAAAUAGCAGAACAUAUUCGAUGAUAACGAGAGAGAGUGCUAAGACUGACUAGAGGAAAUUGUUCGAAGUACUCAGUUUAAAACAAAAAGGAACUAAGAUGGAGAAACUUCGAAUCUAGAUAUCGAGGGAGGAUCUCAAUUCAUUAGAGUAGCACAUAGACCACUUUCACGCACAAAAAAAAUACAGAAGAGAGUCAAAUUAAUAAACAAAAAAAAAAGGAAAAGGAAAGAUAAGUAUGAGUACCUUUUGUCCUAUGGCCCUCUAAUUGAGCAGGCCUGAGAAUGCCACCUGGGUGCCUGCGAUCAGGCCUUGCAGACUGAUACACAGAACUCCAAGCCUAAGAGAAAACCAAUGUGAUUUUUAAAAUAAAAGAGUGAUAUUAUCCACACUUAUUUUUAUUUCUUACGUAUUUUUUUUUAAUUUUUUAUUAUCAUAUCGAAUGAAUUAAAGAACAUUAAUAAAAAAAAUUAAAAAAGUUAUUCAAGAAGUAUAAAGAAAUGUGUGAAUAGCACUAUCUAAAAUAAAAUAAUUAAAGAAAAAAUGUUUGGCUUUCGUCUUUCACUUCGUAUCUAGCCUUGAUUUAAGAAAUCCUUUGUCGUCUGUAUAGCAACAAGUUUAUUGUUCCUGUAAAUGAACAACACCAACCUAUUGAGUCUGAAACGGAUGAACUCGUAAAGAGCUUGAGUGGGCUUUGGUUUAUAUUUGAGUCCACAAAGUUACAUUAUUUUUGAAAACUUUAACGAAAAAUUUCCGAUACUAUUCACUUUAACGAAAAAUUAUAUUUUUACACAAAAAAAGUCAAUUCUGAUACUAUUCAUUUUACCCUUUAUUUUGUCCUUAUCGUUAAAAUUUAAAGUUUUCAAACAUUUUUUUAUUAGUUUUCUUUCUUUUUCUUAUUAAUGACAUUAUUUUAGAUUGAUCAUACAGUUUACCUCAGUAUAUUUACUCUUGUAUCUGCUCUAAAACAAGAGGCACGCAUUUAGUGAAUUAUGGUGCCACUAGAAUUCAAUCUUGUAAUCUAGGCAAAAUGUCUCCAACUAUGGUACGUAUUUAUUGAAUGAUGAUGUCACUAGAAUUCAGUCUUGUAAUCUAGGCAAAAUGUCCCCAACUAUGGUACGUAUUUAUUGAAUGAUGAUGUCACUAGAAUUCAGUCUUGUAAUCUAGGCAAAAUGUCCCCAAUCGUGGGGGUUUAGAAGCCAUUUUUGUUUAUGUUUAUUUCUGGUACAAGUAAAUAUCCCGAGAAAGCCAUUUGAACACAAUACCUAAAAUACAGGAUAACGACUCUUAACCACAUAAGCUACAAGUCCGCCCCUUGUUACUGUAGUUUGACAGCUACAAUGUCAAUGUAAGACAUACUACAUGAGACCAAUUGUUAUUGUUGUGAUUGUAGACCUUAUCUUUGUUAUGUUUAAGAUAUUCAGGCACUUGGUGCACAAAAGCACCUCUAAAUUAAACUUCAGGGUUCCCCUUCUAGACUGCAAAUAGAAUCCACCAGCACGAGCACAAGGAUGUUGACAAUGUCCCCCAAAAUGGACUAGGCUACGAUUCAUUAGUCAUCCCCAGCAAGCUUCGACUCGUGUUCAAUUUUCGUAGAUUCCGCCUUCUGAUUCCAUUUCGGAACAAAGUGCUUGCUACAACACAUUUUGGCUCCUUGAAAUCUAAGGGACGCUCCGUGCUCUUCUCCUUUAGUCUCUUUUUCAAGUAGUCUGCCGUCUGCGCUUGAACUGAUAUCAGCCAAUAGAAGUUUCCACGAUCAAAUUAUAGCAAACAACCCCCGAAUGCCGUGGAUAAGUUAACACAUUAACUUAGUUACCAAAUAUGAGUCACAUAAAACCAAAGAGAAGAACUACAUUGAGAUUUCCUGUAGAGAUACCUAAGCAGGAGUAACUAUCGAUUGAGGAACUGCAGCAAACACUGCAACAUCAUACAUUUGUUUUCGUUACAAUGGAGAGUAGCGAACCCUUGACAUAGCUUAAUCCUAACCGACUUCCCCACCUACCCAUAUCUUUGCAUUUCAUUAUUGCCCCUAUUACGACGAAAGCGAGAGGUUUGUAACCUGAGUAUAAACUGAGUAUAAAUUCUCACUAUUUGGAAGCAGAGAUAAUAGCAUCAAAACUUACUUCACAUCGCAAAUAGGUUAACCGAAAGCAUUCAGUAUUAUGACCUAAUAUUACGAAGCAAAUAGGAAGCCUGGAAAGCAACCACAGUAGAGUGUGGACAUAAUUAUCAAUUCACCUUUCAAGUUGACUCUAUCAGCAAUUCUGGCACAUAAAAGUACACAAACAAAAAUGCGGCGUUCAUAUUGAAGAAAAUCAAAACGGUUAGGAAGAAUUACCAGAGUGGGAAGAAGCAGAUGCCAUGGCACAAUCCUUGAGUCUCUUUAUCUUUUCAAUUGCUUGCACACUUUCAAGGACUUCAUCUGUUUUUAGGUCUUCAGUAGAUUUCUUCAUAACGUUAACUUCAUCUGUUUUACGGUCUUCAGUAGAUUUCCUCUUAAUGCAAUCCAAUGCAUGUUCACAUGCCUACAGAAAAAGCUUAAAUCAGGAUAUACACCACAAUAACAAAGAUUGACGAUACAAGAAGUGAGUCGAAAAACAAACAUAGCAUGCAGUUUGUUAUUACAUAUAACAUGAGCAAUUACAUGAUAAAAAUGCAAUAGUUUUGCGUGUCUAAUCCACCUUCAUCUAGUAGUAAAUAAGCCAUUUGUAUAGCACUAAAUAUAAGAUCUGUUGCACUUGUGCCGCUCAUUUUAGGAAUCAAUAGCAAUCAAAAGAAACAAUAACAACAAAUUUAAAACAUGUUGUCCCAAGCUUGAAAAAUAAGAAAUCUGCAUGUUGUCAACUGAAUUAUGUGUUGUUAACUUGAAAACAAGAAAUCUCAUGGAAAAGGACAACUUGGGUAUCGACCACAGAUUUAGUUAUCAAGCAAUUGAUCAUAGAUAUGGGUAAUAAAUCAAUCAUAAUCUGAAAAUUUAUCAAACAAAAUUCCUUCUUUAUUCCUUUAGCUACACCUGCACUGCUUCUCCGGAUACGAAUAAGUUAAGAAAUUAAGAACACUGAUAAAAAGUAGUGAUAGUUAUGAAGGUGAUGAUCACACUCACCUUUCCUGCAACUGAAUAGAAACCACUAUCUCUUGACUGGUGAGCAAAAUUCAGCCAUUCCGUAUAAGAAACUUGUAGCCAUGGAUUCGUCGAAGAUUUGAUGUCCCGCAAAAGCAAUGCCUCAUAUCUCAAAGCCAAACAACUCUGCAAUCACAAACCGAUCCACAAGCACAUAGCAGAUAAUUAGUACCAAAUUCCAAAGAACCCUAGCGAUUUGGCUUAUGACAUAAUUAACUUCAUAAAAUUCACCAAUUUCGCCAAAGUGGCAUGAAAAAAAAUUAAACUUAGGAAUAAUUACGCCUGAAAUUGAAAUCUUUAAUUGAAUCAAAGUAAGGAAGUGCGAUGAACACGAUGAAAUUGAGAGGAUUUGAAUUUUGAGAAUAUUUGCCUCAACAUCGCCUACUAGUGCAAAAGCGCGAACAAGAAACUCGAGAACAAGAAGCUUCUCUUCCGCAUUUUUCUCUGCAGUUUCUCGCAGAACGGAGAGCGAUUCCGACCUCAUGAACUGCCUGAAGCCGGACCUGACUUCUAUCGACGACUUUACGUCCUUCGAAACCAAUGCCGAUUCCAAUACUCGUAGCGUCACGUCAUCGAACCUGAAAAAGCUCAAUAUUUUCAAUACCAGAGAGAGAGAGGGUGGAAGAUUGGAGAAGAAGCAGAAAUGGACCUUCUGUUCAAGACGAGUGAGCGAAAGAUCUCUGACAUUUGGGCGGCAAAAUGGUCUCUGAAUUCCACUUUGAGUAGGGUUUAUAAAAAUAAGAUGGGCCAUAAUGGGCCUGCAAUCUUUAACCCAUUUAAGGCAUGUUUAAAGGAAAUUAAGGCCCACUUAUACCAAAGAAAGGCGAAAUCUCAUUUGCCACUUUCAAUUUUCUAUUAUUUUUUAACUCACUACAUUCCAAGUUCAAAUUCUUCACUCUCGAUGGAGUAGUUUAGAGCAAAAAUAUUGAUUGCAUUUAAAAUUUAAAAAAAAAACACAUUUUAUGUUACUUUUCAUAACUUGUAUUGACAUGUUUUAAAAUAUUAGAUUAUUCGUAACUAAAUUAAAAGUCAUAAUCCAAAAAGGUUAAGUUUACGAGUUUUUGACUCAUUGCUAAAAUAUCUUUUAUAAACAUAAGAAAGCGUCGCAAUGCUACAAUCUUACAAUAUUCUCUCUCAUUAAUAAGUGGAAAGUUUUAAACUUGGCUAAAAUAAAUACGACCGGCAUAAUAAAAAACCAUAAGAUGGGGUCGAGGGCCUGCGUUGAGACGCCGACGUGCCGGGCAGUAACAACCAUUAGAUGUGGUAUAUGAGUUACACAGAACCGAGCAGUAAUACCCAAUAAGUUGAACACUAGGCAAACACAAUAGAGGGAAAAGGGAUCGACAAAAGUUCUAAGCAAAACAAGCACCAAAUCGUAUCGCAAAAUGUCAAUCGUACGGAGACGGGCGGUUUUAAGCCCAACAUUUAGCAAAUCAAUUUACAAACAAACAGAAAAUCACCACUUGAGACCAAAAGGAAAAAUAGAGAAGAUAUCAAGGAAACAAACGGUUUGAUUCAAAUAUGCAAGUGUUUGGGAUGUAGUACAACGAUUUAAACUCCGACCGCAACGUGAUUACUAGGGUGUACUCCAUCAUUCCCUAAACUAAAAAUUGAAAGAAACCCACAAGGCAAAUGCCAAGAAUACAGUAGAAGCACAUGACAGUAAGCAUCCAUCAGCAACAGAAUGGAGGACAUGACAGUUGACGCUAGGAGCUAGGAGCUAGGAGCUAGUAGCUACGCAGAUAUUCUUGUCAUCCACAAGUACUUUGCAGCCACCCUCAAGGAAGACUAGCCCCACCCAGUAAGUAGCUGAACAAUGAAGGCAACCGGUUGGCAAAAUUUUAGGCACCAUGACGUUUUGGCAAACAAUACUAGAUCUUAAACACUAGAUUGAUGUGGUGAAGUAAAAUCAUCGCAAAGCGAAAGCCUCGAUGUAGGAAAAGAGCCUCCACACAACAUGAUCAAAAAUGUCUAACCAAAAUAACAAAAUCCUACAUGGAAAACCUAUUCCAUGUAACAUGAUAGCAAACUUAAAUAAGUUCAGCUGGAGAUCAAAGUUAAGCAAAAUCCAAUCCAAUCCAAUCCAAUGGUCAGGAUUCACAUCUAACAUCAAGUACAUUCCAAUAUAAACUCCCAGCCACAGGAAGCAUCUUCAGUGAUUUCUCAUACGGGCAACAAAUUUUCAGUCAGAAAGCAUGUACAGAUAUCAAUGCUUGCAUCUGAGCCAUAGAUAUAAAAUGAUCAGAUGCAAUCAAGAACCCAGUGAUGCAAAUCUGGGCAAUCUCCAAAUAAGUGUUAAUAAUGGUUACGAAAGAGCAGCACUCACCUGAAAAUAUCAACCUACCAUAGCAGCAAGCAAUUUGGAGAUUAUCGACUUGUCUCUAUAAAACAUUCACACAACUAAUAUCAAUCCCAUGCACAUAAUUGAAACUCCUCCAGAUAGUUUUAGGUAAAGUUAAUAUAGGAGGACAGAGGCCUUGCUCAGGGUUAGUGAACAACCUACCUCUUAGUCUCCAGUUUAAGAACCCUCCAACGGAAUACUACAAAAACCCUCAGACAACAAUUCUCAUUACAUAAAAUCUGCUUCAUCUGGAAAUUCUCUCAGUAAGGACGCGAACGGUUUCCGCCGUGUUGAUGUCUAUCAGCUCCACCGUCUCUAUAACUGUUGCGCCUGUCACCGCCACCAUAUCCACCUCUACCACCACCACCACUGCUUGCACAAGAAAAAGCAAGUCAGGACUCGGCAUGCAGACAAAAGCACAAAAUUAAAUAAGCAAACCAGAAACUCAUUCACGCAAAAACAGUGGACCCACAGUUAAAAUAAACCAGCAUGCAAACAAAUUGCCAUAAUAAAAAAAAAAAAAGCUACAUCUCUUCACCACAAAAAACCAUAUAUUGCAAAAGAAUUUCAUAAAGCACAUCGGAAAUUCAGUGUAUCACCCAUUAACAGAAUACCACAAUUGAAUUACUCAAUGACUUUAGUGAUUGUGACAUCAGGAAAAAGAACAAUUUAUAAAACCCACAAGCAAAUAUUAAACAUCAGGAUACAUAUCCACAUUGGAAAUUUCUCCCAAUGUGAGGAAGCAACAUAGCACAUGAACAACAAGAAAAAGAGUUAUUUUCAACUUCAUUCAAAUUAUAAAAUGUACAUAGAUAUCUACCCUUGUUCAAACGAAGGCCUUGGAGCUGAUCUCUCCGCCAUUGUAACACUGAUCUUAUAGCCCCUUAAGUCAUAAUCUGUAAGCACAAUACCUAGUUAGAAUAGAACGACUUAAACAUCAUCUUACCAUGCAGAAUAAAAGAAAAAAGUUACCAUUGUAAAAUCCACCAGCUGAAUGUGCAGCAGAGGGAUCUUCAUAGGCUAAACAUGCGUCGCCUUUGUUUUUUCCAGACUCGUCUGUGUAUAUUUUGAUAUUAUAUGGCCAUUGAUCCUUAUAGCCACGUUUCUGCUUGAUUCUUCCCACCUGAACAAUAACUUAGCAUUAAGUAACCGAAUAAAUGUAUACCAAUUUGUGGAGCUGACAAGGCAAUUUAACCUGUUCCUACAACUGCAAGAGAAAUGAAAAAUAAAUUUCCAUACAGAUCCUCAAACUAUAAAAAUCAGUAAACAAAAUUCAAUCUUAUAAACUCGGAUGCACAAAGUUCAGAAGUAGGUAUGGAUUUACUUGUCCAAUGCCUCCAAAGAGCUGCUGAAGUUCGUCAACGGUAACAUCUGGUGGUAAGUUUGAUAUGUAGAUUCUAGCAUUGUCACAAGUAUCAUCACAAUUCUGGUCGCACUGCUUCACCUUAGCUGCGGCUUCUGUAGCACCACUGCCAUAUCCACCACGACCACCAGCACUGUAUCCACCAUCAUAUUUAGCUGGAGGGCCCCCACGCCCACCACCCCUUGCAUCACCUAGACCAUCACCACCAUAACCGCCUGCAGGACCACCGUAAGAUGGGGGAUACGAUCCAGGUCCACCAGUAUAGCUUGUAGGAGGAGGAACUGCAUCUGUUCCAUAACCAGCAUUGUAAGAUGGUGCGUAAUUGCCUCCAGCUGCACCAUAGGACGGUGGAGCACUUGGAGGAACCUGACCAUACCCACCAUCAUCUCUUCCUUGGCUACCACCAUAAGAACCACCUCUACUACCACCACCGCCUCUACUGUCAUAACUACCGCCUCUGCCUCCAUCAUAACUGCUACUUUUACCUCCUUCAUAGUUACCACUUCGACCCCCAUCAUAAUUACCACCCCUACCACCACGGUUACCGCCACCGUAGCCCCCACCACUUCCUCCUCUGUUAUAACCACCACCACUGCCACGAUCACCACCGGCACCCGAAGGAGAGGGCGUGCCACACUUAUUACACUCAACUCUUCUUGCAAAGUUCGAAUUCCCACAGCUAUAUACAACCAUACCGAUUCCAUAAACCACAAUAUACAUAUGCAAUAAGGAAAUAAACAAAAAUAAAUAAAUUUCGACUUAAAGCUAAUACUUUAAGUUUUAAUUCUAAGAAGUUAAUUCUAAAACCCAAUAAAAUAUACGGAUAAGAUUAAAUAAAUAAUAAAACCGAUCAAAAUCAAAAAGAAAGAAAGAACGAGAUAGAAAAAGAGAAAGGGCUUACCCUGGAUUAGGACACAGCCAAUCACCAUCUCUUCCACUGCCACCGCGGCCGCCUCUGCCGCCACCACCACGGUCGCCACCUCUGCCUCCACCACCACGGUCGCCUUGAUAUCCUCCACCUGCAAUCAAAACCAAAUUCGUCAAAUCAAAAUCAAAAGAAUUUAAACAAUUAUAAACUCGAAGGAACAAAGUAAUGAAAUUUACCUCGACCGCCACCGCCCCGUCCACCACCGUAACCACCUCCAUCGCCGCCCUUACCUCCAUAUCCACCGCCACCGCUUCCACCAUAGCUCCCGCCUCCACCACCACCUCCAUAACCACCAGAACCGCCUCCGUAUCCGCCAGAACCACCAUAGCCGCCGCCGCCGCCGCUAGAUCCGUAUGUCGGAGGGGCACCAUCGCCCCCUUGACCGUAGAUUCCAGCCAUGAUCUAGGUUCGAGCGAGAGAGAAGCGAAACAAUCACAGGGACACACAGAUUAGGGUAAGACUCGAAAUAAAGAUAUUUACGCGCUGAGUACUUCUACUUUAUAUAUGUCUCCAAGACUAUGGCUCCAACACGUGUUGGUUAAUCAUGUCAAAAGCCCAAACCCGAAACCCUUUGAGUCCGUAUUGGGUUUUCUUAGGGCCCAGACCAGUGAGCUUCUUUUGUUUUUUUUUUUUUUUCAUACAAGUCAGAGGAGGGAGAUUCGAAUUCGGCAUAAGUGGCAGGUACAUUAGUCUAACCAAUUAAAUUACAAAUCAACUCGUGAUAACUCCGCCAUCAACUGACUUAAUCCACACAUGCGCACGUACAUCUCGUCUUUUCUUACUAAUUGGGAAAUUGAAAUGCUCACACUCACUCUGCAUACUAACAAGAAACAAAUAUAGAGAUUUCCCAAACCCUUCUUUUACUAUCUUUAAUUUUGUAGAGCAAUAGCUUCGAUAAGUGUUUAAACUUACGAGUUACAAAAACAACACCGGCACCAAUCGAUCAGCAGACGGAUAAUACAGCGGCUAAAAAAUUCCUCGGAUAUCUAUUUUCUCAAAACUGUCCUCAAAAUCUAUCUUCUAUGUAAAUCGGGGUAAAGAUAACAAAAGGGUUGUCACUAGCAAGGUCAUGCACAGGGAAAGGUAGUCCGGGCGGAAGGAAUCUGAAAGAGAAGUGCGUAGCUGAACCGAAAACCUGCAAUUAUCCACGGAUGGAUUGACAGUUGUGAUUAAACCCAAGCCACCAAAGUCACAGCUAUCUGCACUCUGGUUAUGCUGCUGAUAGUAGCUGUUAAAUGCAUAUGAGAUAUUGCCAGGCCAACUGAUAUUGGAGCAAGACCCGCCAGGAGACAUUGCACUGCAAUCGGCAUGCAAACAUGCCUCUGAAGCACUAGCAGUUGCAUUAGAUAAGUCCCCGUUAUUGUUCACCACGCACCACUUAGCCGGAAGGUACUCCACAUUCUGUGCGUCCACGAGAUUUUUCGAACCUUGGAUGAAAUCAAAACGGUACUUGGCUUGACCAUCAAAAGUGAAGACACCCCAAUGUCUCUCAAAAUUUCCAGAGCUUAUGCUUCUUUGGUCCUCAUCUAAGAGGCUAAAAACAUAUGUUUCGCUUGGAGGAUUCCGAGGUCUGAGUGGGGUUCCCGAUUUGCUACGAAGGUGCGCCAUCAGGCCUUUCAUGAAUGUCUCUGCAGUGGAAGAGGUUGCAUUUGCUGCUCCAUCUGUAGGCCAACCAAUCUGUGACACAACAAUUUCCAUCUUCGGAAAUCCUACUGUUGACAAAGCAGUAACCAAGGUGUCAUGGCUCAAGUCAAAGCUGUUUUUGUAUGUUUUGCGGCUGUCGUUAUGAGGUUUUGCAUUAUCUUUAAAUAGAGUGAAGUCGAGGGAAAUGUUUUUGUUCUGGCGGAGACUUAUGAACGGGGAAAUGGUUGCAAAGAAUGGUGAAUUGUGCUUGCUGAGAAACGUGAGCAGUUUAAUCAUGGUUCUAUUGAGGUCAGCCCGAAAGUGUCCUUUUGAAGGAUGGCCAGACUCUGACAGGAAGGAAUCAAAACUACAAGGCACCACCACUUUCACAUUGCUCUCCAAUUUUGCUCGGGCCAAAGCUGUGUGGAUAUUCAUUGCCGCUCCUAUGACGAAUGGGUGAAAUUGCUCACCAUAACUCUGGAGAAAUGACUCAUCUCCAACAGCAACAUACCUGAAAAUAGACCAGUUAGAAACCAAUAUAUACAAUACGAAACAACCAUAUAUUGAUUCAUGAAUGACCAAAGUCCAUUCGACAUCUGAUUUGAUCAACAAACAAAUAUUCAUUAGCUACUCUAAGAUGCUAAUGAGUUCAUGAACCGCAAAAUCCCUGCUACAAAAAUUUAUCUGUCAACUUGUCCUUGCACGGCUGGCUAAUCCUAAAAGAUUCCUUCUCACUACAAAAUUUGCUCGUUCGACCAGUCCUAAUGCAAUUAAGCCCAGUGAGAGAUCACUGAUACUGACAUGUUGAAGAGGCAACAGGCUCCUCUUUAAAAAUUAAUAGACAGAGGAAAGUUUCUUUUUACUCUAGCCUCUAGGUAUAUCUCUCAUCUCCUAGAAAGUUUAUCAGUUUAUUUGCCAAAAAUCAAGCACCAAUGCAGCACUUGAACACGCCAGGGGACUUGAACUAGUAGCAUCGGAACACAAAUACCAUUAUACUAUUUUCUUUCGUUCUUCAACCAUGAAGAACACAAUAAAAGUAUCUUUAAAUUCCAUAUGCCGGCUCACACGACAUCAAAGAUUAACCUUGACGUGAUGUUUAAGCAUCUACUCUGAAAAACAUAGUGACGAAGAUUUCGACAUGGUCCCCUUUCAUUUGUGGUUCUUUUCAUAUACAUUAAACUAAGGAUAAUUUCACAAAAGUCCCCACUUCAUGCGCAAUGCAACUUCGUUCGAAAACUACGAUUUUCUAACAUCCUACAUUGCCCCAGAAUUGCAACACAAUGCCAACGGUAUCACUUAAUCUAAGCAAAAGCAGUAACAAGAUACAUUCUUUCUAAAUGUGUAACACAAAUACAAUGCAAUUCAGCAAUUGGGUAUUUCUAACAAUCAAAUUUCAUCGACAGUAAAUUAACUAUUUACCACCCAAAAUCCAAAUGCAGCAUCAAAUUAAAACCCCAUCGGGCAAAAAAACCAAAGAGAAGGACGAAAACUCACUCAAUUUUAACACCGCCGCCGUCGCCGUUGGAGACGUAGCGAGUGACAUUGUCAUGAACCCAACUCUCGGCAGCCUUCUUGGAAGAGUUGAGGGAUUUAAGCAAUGCAUUGGGAAUGCCCACAGUGACGCUAAGCUUGGACCCAGAAAGCGCUCCGAGGACGCCUGGGUCGGCGUCGAACAGCUUGACCUUGGUAACAUUGUUGGACUUCAGCAGCUCCACCACCUUGGCCGGCGGUAGUGGGUGCGACGCCGUCGUACCCCAGUUCACGCCUAUGGAUCCGCAGGUGGAGACGGUGGUCGCCAGGAGAAAGAUGAGUGUGCAGAGAUUUGGGGGCAUUUUCUGGGUUUGGACUUUGGAGUUGGAGAGGGAGAUUAAAGGCUGAAGCUUUUUUUCGCUGAAAAGUAGUAAGUGAGAAUGUUGGUGGAGGCUUUUGGCAGUUAGCGGUGUUCUACGCUAAUUAAGCAGUCCUACUUUGCAAUUUCGUCUCUCUCUAUAAAUUAUAUAGUUUAAUUAGAUUUUUUAUCCCUAGACUCUAGACAUUAAGAUCUCGUUUGGCAACUUCUAUAAAGAAUCGGAUAAGAUUAAUAGUACGGAAUCGGCCAUUUGGUGCUCUUCCGUAUUAAAUAAGCACUGAACUACUUUAACCGAUCCACUUAUUUUAUUCAGUAUACACCUGACUAAUAAAAUCAUCCAAACAAAAUGUAUUAUUAGUCCGGUUCUCUUUCCUUUCGCUCGCGCAAACUCGGCUACCCAUCUAAAUAGCAAAACAAGUAAUUUGCUUCAUACCAUGUUUAUGAAACAAUUGUUCAAUGCUAAUGCAUGAAGAUUCACUCAUGUCUAUACUACAAAACACGUAUCUCACAUGUUUCAUUCACUUUCUAUUGUUUUUUUAAUAUCAUCAUGUCAUCUCGAUCCCCAAGUCCUCCCACAAGAUCCCUGCACAAAGAAGAUAUUCUCUUUUGCAAUCAAGAUAUUAUUAUCACUUUGAUAUUAGUCACAUGUUCAAAAAUGGACUGCCCAUUCAAAAGGAUACUUGCUGCAUGGUUAAUUAGUGACAAAAAAAUAUAUAUUUCCACUUAAUUAAAAACCGUUUUUACCAUUAUUCAUUUACUACAAUAAGAUUGAUGAAUCAUGAGAAAACUCCGACAUCCACCAUCUUAUAAAACAAAUGACAACUUAAAUUAAAUACUUCUACUUCUAAUCGCACUAAGAAAAUUUUGGAUUAAACCUCACGCCUAUUCAAUUGAAUAGGUGGUUAAUUCGGUGAUAGUAUUUGUGUGGUUAGUGGUGAACCUUCUCAGGCAUUUUUUGGUAGUUCGGACUGUAUUGACUAUUUUAGUCAGAUAGGAUAAAUAGCCACUAGAUAAUACUGACUAAAUUAGUCGGGCGUUUGGUGCAGUAUUGGAUUAAUGACCGUAUUAUUUAUAUCGUGUUUGGUAUUGAACCGGAUAAGAUAAGAGAAAAAAAAAUCAACAAUUCUAUUCAGUAAACCACAACAGAGCAAUACUUCAACACCCAAUCAACAAUUCAACAACCCUAGUCCAAAAUUAUUCACACAUAUAUGGAGCACAAUUCCUGAAGUACAACUCCACCCCCAGGUCCCCACUCGAUUACAGUUCUCCAAAUGUUGCAACGAAAAUUGGAUUGGACAAAUAUAUAGGAAUAAAGAAGUAAAAUUUUAAUAUCAUUCAACGAAAUUGUUCAUAAUUUUCGUCAUCCAGCCAAAACCAAAAUUGGGGAAAACGAAAAGGGGCUGGGUUUGGGUGGAGCAGGUAGAGAAGAAGAAGAAAUUUGCAGGUGGGGUUGGGUGGCAAAAUUGGGGAAAACGAAAAGGGUUGGGUUUGGGCGGAACAGAUGGAGAAGAAGAAGAAAUUUGUAGUUACAAAAUUGGGGAAAACAAAAAGGGGUUAGUUUUAGGCAUAACAGAUAGAGAAGAAGAAGAAAUUUGCAGGUGGGAACAAAGAGAAAAGAAGAAGAAAUUUGCAAGUGGGGUUGGAUAGAGAAAUUGGGGAAAGCGAAGAGGGGUUGGUUUUGGUUGGAGCAGGAAGGGGAUGAGGAGGAGGAGAAGAAGACGCAAGGCGCGAUGCGAGACAGAAAGGAGAGAGCGGAGGAAGCGAAACUACCUGACUAAUAAUACAAAGAAUUUUGGGAUGAUAAUUUAGUAGGCGUACACCGUAUAAAACGUGUGUGGCCAGUUUAAUUAAUCCGGGUACUAUUUAGUACAAAUUUGCACCAAAUAUCUGCAUCCGUACUAUUUAUCCUAUUCGGUGUGUUAUACGGGCUACCAAACGAGAUAGUCAUUUUGUUUGAAAUCUUAAUAUCAAAUAAAGUUUGCUUGAAUAACUGAUGUGAAAGUGAUUGGACGUUUGAUGCGUUAAAUAAUAGUUCCAAGUGAAGGGACAUGUUUAACAAUGAGAAACGCAACACAUCGGCCAUCUUAAAAUUACAAAAUACUACUUAUAUUAAUUAGUUUCACUCAUAUCUGCACUUUUUAAAAUAAGAUAUUACUCGUAUUUUUAACAGUCGUAACUAAAAUACUCAGAAACUUAAAAAUAAGAAUCCUCAAUUUCAUUCAGAUACAUUUAUUCACAGACUCGGAUCCUCUUCGGAUCCCAAUAACCUAAGCCUAAGAAUCAAAUGAUUUGGAAAGUUAAAAUUUGAUCCAACGACUAUAAUUAUUAUAACUUUUAGAAGUGUUCCCUGUUUGUAGUUAUUAGAUUAAAUUUCAACGAUCCAGAUCAUUUGAUCCUUAGGUUUAGGCUAUUGGGAUUCAAAAAUGAUCUGAGUUCUUUAUUCACAAUCCAACUCAUUUUCUUUGUAUCUUUUUCUCACUCUUUUACUUUCCACUAAUGCUUUUCUCUGGAAAAGGAUCAAGCGAGGAUCCUUAGGAAGGAUUCUCGCUGGAUCCUUUUCCUAAGGAUCCUAAUGAUUAUGUGAUUAUGACCGUUCAUCGUAUAUCGUGCGGUUAUAAAUUAUUUCAAAAUUUAAAAUUUAAAAUUAAAUAUAAAUAGUACCUUACUAAAACUGAAUAUACAAUGAACUGUCACAAUCACAUAAUUCCUAGGAUUCCUACCGAAAGCAUCCGGCGCCGAAUCCUUUUUCCUUUUCUUUGUAUCUUCUUCUCACUCUUUUACUUUCCACUAAUGCUUUUCUUUCCUUAGUCACCAAGAACUGCAUCACUUUUGUGUGUCAGUUGCUGUCGAUAAUUGGUGAGAAGCUAACAUAAUGGGACCCGUAUGAGGAAGUGUGUUGCAUACACGUGCUUGUGAACCAUAUUUCCUACGGUUGACACAAUUGCUUUUGACUACUCAGCAUUGAAUGGUCAGCAAAGAAUUCUUCUCCUAAGCAUUGAAUGGUGAAUGGUGAAUGGAGAAUUUUAGUCCUAGGGCAUUGAAUAAUGAACAAGAAUAUCCAAAGGCAAGUAGAAUAGUUGUUAAUUGAAGAUAAAAUUAGAAAAAAUUAGUUAAGAUGAUUUAGACACAUGAGCUACAAACAUACAAAUACUCCGAUCAAAAGAUGCGACAAUAAGACAGAGGGUCAGAGCAAAAUGACUAGAAGAAGAUCUAGAAAUACUUGGAAAGAAACUUUUAAGAAAACAUAUGAAAUCCUUGAAUGAAAGACUUGGCGCAAAAUCAAGCGUGAUGUUAUUAUAGGAAUCAUACAGUCGACUCUACUUAACGAAGUAAGACUUUUGUUGUUGUUGUUGGCAUUGAAUGGUAAAUGAAGAAAUACGGUGUUAGAUAGAAGAAAAUUUUCAGGAUACGCUGAACACGGGACAAAACAACACAUAUCAUUAUGCAAUUGAAGGGAUACAUUAAAAAUACACUUUCUAACAAUUGUAUAAUAACGUAUUAUGCCCCGUGUUCCGAAUACACUGAAUAUUCUCUUCUUUAAUGAUGUGUGAAUUGAAGAUCACUUGUGACCUGUUGGCCUAAAUCAUUACUCGCUUUCCACCGACUCCCUUCGAGUGUAAAUUAUUGUGAUAACGUUUGUGGUUGAAAUUAAUCUCUACUAAUUAAUAAAACACUUAUUAUCAACUAAAAUUCUAUGAAAUUACCAAUUUAACUUUUUAAUUAAAAAAGAACAUGAAUAAGAAAUAUGGGGCAUAAAUCAUUUUAAAUUUUAAAAUUUAAAAUUAAAUAUAAAUAGUACCUAAUGAAAACAGGUCGUACGAUAUAUGAUGAACAGUCACAGAAUCCCUAUGAACUCUAGAAAAAAGAUCCUCGCCCGGAUCUUUUUCUCACUCUUUUUACUUUCCACUAAUGCAUUUGUUUCCAUUGUCACCAAGAACUGCAUCACUUUUGCAUGCCAGCUGCUGUCGAUAAUCGAUGAGAAGCUAACAUAAUGGGACCCGUAUGAGGAAGUGUGUUGCAUACACUUGCUUGUGAACCAUAUUUCCUACCGUUGAUGCAAUUGCCUUUGACUCCUUGGCAUUGAAUGGUCAACGAAGAAUUCUUCUCUUAAGAAUUGAAUGGUGAAUGGAGAAUUUUAGUCCUAGGUUAUUGAAUAGUGAAUGAGAAUAUCCGAAGACAAGUAGAAUGGUCGUAACUAAAUAUAAAAUAAGAGAAAAUUAAUUAAGAUGAUUUAGACAUAUGAAUUAAAGAUUUACCUAUGCUUUGGUCAAAAGAUGCGACAAUGAGAUAUAGGGCCAGAGGAAAAGGACUAGAGGAAAAUUUAGAAAGACUUGAAAAAAGCCUUUUAAGAAAACAUAUGAAAUCAUUGGAGUUAAUGAAAGACUUGGCGCAAAACUAAGUGUGGUUGUAUUCUACAAAUUAUACAGUCAAUUCUACUUAACGAAAUAAAACUUUUGUUGUUGUUGGCAUUGAAUGGUAAAUGAAGAAAUAUGGUGUUAAAUAGAAGAAAAUUUUCAGGAUACGCAGAACAGAGGAUAAAACAACACAUAUCAUCAUACAAUUGAAUGGAUACAUUAAAAAUAAACUUUCCAAUAAUUAUAUAAUAACGUAUUGUGCCGUGUGUUCCGAAUACACUAGAAAUUCUCUUCUUUAAUAACGUGUGAGUUGAAGACCAAUUUGUGACCCAUCAACUUAAAUCAUUACCCGCUUUCCACCGUCUCCCCUCUAAGGCAGAUUCUCUGCUCUUACACUUUCCGUGCUUUUUGUUUGUGUGAUCACGGUUAAGCUACGUUAAUAUUUUAUAUUACUACUUAUUUUUGUCUUAUUAUCUUUAUAAAAAAUAUAUAAAAUAUUAACGUGACUUAAUCGUGACCAUACAAAACAGAAGGGAGGGAAGAGGAAGGGCAGAAAAUCUGCUGCCGCUCCCCUCGAGUGUAAAUUAUUGUGAUAACGUUUAUGGCUCAAAUUAAUUACAAAUUAAAAUAAGGAAACUUUAACGAAAAGCACCCGGUACUGUUCACUUUACCGAAAAACCACAUUUUUACACUAAAAAGUCAAUCCUAGUAUUAUUCACUUUACCCUUUAUUUUAUCCUUAUCAUUAAAACUCAAAGUUUUCAAGUCCUUUUCAUUAGUUUUCUUUAAAAUAAUCUACGGAACUGCACGACACUCUGACUUUAUCUACUUACGGAAGCCAGAGUACAGUUCGCUGCGCUCAAUAAUCUCGCUCACAUUUGCGGGCGAUUCCUCACCGCAACGACGCCCUUUUCAGCAAGGAGGUUAUGCAGAAGCAGCUGCGGCGGCGGAAGAGACAAUGGAGAAGCUAGAAUCCGCAGUGAAAAAAUCGGAGUUGAAGCAGAGGACUCUGCGCCAGGCGUACGACUGCGUCCACGAGCAAGCGAAGUCCCUCAUGUUCUUUUCCGGACAGUGGAAGGACCUCGAGGACCACUUGGAGUCCACGCGCCGCUCCGUCGAGGCCCGAUUCCGGGAACUCGAGCACCGCGAGGAGGAAGUCCGAGUCCGGGACGAGGAUUUGGAAGCCAGAGAGUCGAGUUUCCGCUCGGAGAUGGAGGCGAAAUCCAACGAGUUGCAAGUGCUUCAGAAGUUGAUCGAAGCGAGAAAGGACGAGCUGAUCUCGCUCCAAUCGGUGAUUCAAGAGCACAGCGAAGAGGUUGCUGUUCAGGAGAGGCGGUUGACGGAAGUGGAGGAUUUCGUAAGGGAGAAGGAGAGGGAGUGUGAAUUCAUCGAGGGGCGCAUUGGUGAGAGGACGAGAAAAUUGAAUUGGGUGGAGGCGAAGGAGCGGGAGGCGGCGGAGCGGUUUGAAGAACUGUUGGACAAGUGCAAGGCGGACAUUGAGUUGAAAGAGAGGGAGUUGGGAGACAUUCUGAGGUCGAUCGAGGCGCGAAAGGCGGAGUUUGAUUUGAGCGGGGAGGAGCUGGAAUCGGCGCAAAGGUUGAUUGAGGAAUGUGAGAGGGAGUUGAGAGCGAAAGCGGCGGACAUUGAGUUGAAAGAGAGGGAGUUGGGAGAGAUUCUGAGGUCGAUCGAGGCACGAAGGGCGGAGUUUGAUUUGAGCGGGGAGGAGCUGGAAUCGGCGCGAAGGUCAAUUGAGGAAUGUGAGAGAGAGUUGAGAGCGAAAGCGGAGGAAAUCGAAUUGAGGGUAGGAAGGAUAAGGGAAAUGGAUUUGAAAGAGAGUGAUUUGGGUUUGCUUGAGAAUGCAGUGGAGGAGUGGAGUUGUGAGCUGCAAUUGAGAGAGAAAGAGCUUGAAAAAUCGAAAGAAGAAGGCGAAAAGUAUUUAGAUAAAGUCUCCAGGGGACUUCAAGGGAGAGAGAUCCAACUGCAAAGGAAGGAGAGCUUACUGCAGAGGAAGGAGAGCCAACUUCAUCAGCAGGCCAGAGAGCUUGCAUUGAAACAUAAAGAAAUGAAGGAAAUCGCUGAAGAACACACCAAAACUCUGAAGUCGAAAGAGAGGCAAAUUGAAGAUCAGGCCAAAGAGAUUGAGUUGAAGCAGAAAGAAAUUGAUUCGUUAAAAAAAUCCGCUGAGGAACGUACCCAAAACCUGAAAUCGAAAGAGGGACAACUUGAAGACAGGGCCAAAGAGCUUGAGUUGUUGAAGCAGAAGGAAUUGGAUUCGAUAAAAAAAAUGGCUGAAGAACAAGCUGAAACCCUGAAAUCCAAAGAGAUGCAACUCAAAAAGCAGGCAAAGGAGCUGGCAUUGAAGCACAAGGAAUUAGAUUCGAUCAAAGAAACCGCUGAAGAACAUGCCGAAACCCUGAAAACGAAAGAGGGCCAACUUGAAGACAUGGCCAGAGAGCUUGAGUGGAAGCAGAAGGAAAUUGAUUCAAUGAAAAAAAUGGCUGAAGAACAAGCUGAAACCCUGAAAUCGAAAGAGAUGCAACUCGAAGAGCAGGCAAAGGAGCUGGCAUUGAAGCACAAGGAAUUAGAUUCGAUUCAAAAAUCCGCUGAGGAACACACCGAAAACCUGAAAUCAAAAGAGAGGCAACUCGAUGACAGGGCCCUAGAGCUUGAAUUGAAGCGGAAGGAAAUCGAUUCAAUGAAAAAAUCCGCUGAAGAACAAGCUGUAACAUUUCAAUCUAAAGAGAGGCCACUCGAAGACAAGACAAAAGAGCUUGCAUUGAAGCAGAUAGAAUUGGAUUCGAUCAAAAAGGCAGCUGAAGACCACACCGAAACCUUGAAUUCGAAAGAGAGGGAACUCGAUCAACGGAGGAAAGAGCUUGCAGUGCAGCAGAAAGAAGAUUCGAUCAAAGCAGAUCAUUCUCCCGCAAGUAACGAAUCCAGCAUCGAUUCGGGUGGCAGAGGUCAGAAACGCAGUACCGCCACUUUUGACUCCGGGAUCCAACCGCAACAACAGCGCAAAAAGAAGUUUCGUCGGAAAUACGAAUCAGCUGUUCCACCGCUAGCUUUCAACCCAGGCUAUCCUCCGCCAUCUGAAUCCGCUAUUGCACAUUAUCGAGAGCGAAAUUACACCCCAGUAGGCUAUCCAUCUCGGCAUUACAAAAAUGGUGGACACCUCCUACACGCCAUCCAUACUUUUGGUCCGGAUCCGGGAAUACAUUACCGGCCGCAUCCAUACUUUCCCGGCCCUCCUCCUACACGCCGUCGGAGAUAUGUUCGUCCGACUUUGUUAUAAAUGCUCUAGACCUAGUUUGACUAGUUUUGAAAUAUGACUUUUAACUUUUAUGUAUAAAAAAUAAAAACCUUGAUUUUUGGAGAGAUUGUUAUUUCUUAUGUGCAAUCGAGGAUAUAUUAUGCAACUGAAGGGAUGGACCGAAUGAACUUAAAGAAAGCAUCUCAUCUCCACCGUUAGAUCUCUACCGAGGGAGAUGAGAUGCUUUCUUGGUUGGGUUUGGCGCAUGGUUUGAUUGAGUUGUGUUUGCUUACAAAGUAUCUGAGACAUAAUGGAUUAAACAAAAAAAAAAUCCUAACAACCAGAUCAAUACAUCACUUUUACUUACGAAGUUUUUUAGGUAAUUUAUAAAACGUUGGCUUAAGCCUUACAUCUCAAUUUCUCUUUCUAGCUAUCUUUCCAAACUACCUUCCCCUGUUCCGUAGGACAUGUUAUUUUAAAAUAAUAGGUUUUUAACCAAAAUGGUACCUAAGAUUAAUAUAACUCUUUACUUUGAUCUUGGAUAUUUAAAUUCGAUAGAAGUAGAUUCUAAGAUUGUCCACCGUCAAUCAUUUUGUCCUUUCCAUAAAAAUCUCCAUUAGUUAAGUGUAUUUUUGUCAAAUCAUCCCCUCCACUUUUAAUGAUAGAAUGACCAAAAUAAUUGACGGUAGACAAUUUCAGUAACCACUUUUAUUGAUUUUAAAUCUCAAUGAUCAAAAUGAAACUCAAAAAACAUUUCGGCUAAAAAGCCAAAUAAGUAUUUUAAUCCUUGAAAACAUGAAUUACUUCUUUUUUUCCUUUAGGGCACGUAAUUUACACAAGAGAGCUAUUAUUCAUAAUUUAAUCUGGUUUAUUGAUUAAUUUUUAUUAUCUCAUUAUCUUUUUAAUCCUAUUUCCUUUAUUUUUCCUAGAUGCUGUGGGAGUGCCACUUUCCUUUGUUUUCUCUUAAUCCUCUUUCCUUAAGGAAAACAGUGUCUAUUUAAUCAAAUACGUGAACUUGCUUUAACCAUUUAGCACAACUACAUUACUCUCUCUUCUCGUCCUCUUGUUUCUAGGGUUUUUAGCAGACGAUACCUCGCCGCCACGAUGUCGUUUUCGCUUAGUGUUUAUGCAGCAGAGACGAUGGAGAAGAAGAUAGAGUGCGCUUUGAAAGAAUCAGAGUUGAAGCAGAGUCGUUUGAGCAAGGUGUACGGUUGCCUUCGCGCCCAAGCAACCUCCCUCGCCAUGUUUUCGGUACAGUGGAAGGAACUCGAGGACCACUUAGCGUCCACCCGACAGUCCAUCGAGGCCAGAUUCCGGGAGCUCAAGAACCGCGAGGAGGAAGUCGGAAUCCGCAACGAGCAGUUGGAAAUCGAAGAGUCGAAGCUCAAUUCACAGAUGGAGUCAAAGUCCAAGGAAUUAAGCGUGCUUGAGGAAUUGAUUGCAGAGAGUAGGAACCGCUUGCGCUCGCUUGAAUCAUUGAUCAAAGAAAACAACGGCGAGGUUGGUGUUAAGGAGGAGAGAUUGGAGGAAGUUGAGAAUUCUGUGAGGGAGAAGGAGAGGGAAUUGAAUGAGAUUCUGGGGUCGAUUGAAGCGAGUACGGAGGAGUUUGAUUUGAGAGAAGAGGAAUUGAAUUUGGUGCUAAGGUUGAUCGACGAAUGUGGCAAAGAGUUGGAAGUCAAAGAGGAGAAGCUUAGUUUGAUUAAGCAAUCUGAAUCGAGAGAAGCGUUGAUUAGGGAAGUAGAUUUGAAGAGGAGAGAGGUUUGCUUACGUGAGAAGGCACUGGAGGAGUGGUCAUGUAAGCUUGAACUGAAAGUGAGGGAGCUUGAAUUGAAAGAGAAGCAAAUCGAAGAAUCGAAACAAGAAGGCGAAAAGUAUUUGGAUGCAGUCUCCAGUGAACUUCAAGGGAAAGAGAGCCAACUGCAAAGGAAAGAAAGUUUACUGCAGAGGAAAGAGAGCCAACUUCAGCAGCAGGCCAGAGAGCUUGCAUUGAAGCAGGACUUUAUCAAGAAAAUCGAUGAAGAACAUGCUGAAACCUUGAAGUCGAAAGAGAGGCAAAUAGAAGAUCAGGCCAAAGAGAUUGAGUUAAAGCAUAAAGAAAUUGAUUCGAUGAAGAAAUGCGCUGAAGAACAUACCGAAAACCUCAAAUCAAAAGACAGGCAACUUGAAGAUCAGGCCAAAGAAAUUGAGUUGAAGCACAAAGAAAUUGAUUCAAUAAAAAAGUCCGCUGAAGAACAAACUCAAAACCUGAAAUCAAAAGAGAGGCAACUUGAAGAGCAGAUAAAAGAGCUUGCAUUGAAGCACAAACAAAUUGAUUCGAUAAAAAAUUCCGCUGAAGAACAUACCCAAAACCUGAACACGAGGGCGAGGCAACUUGAAGAUCAGGCCAAAGAGCUUGCGUUGAAGCAGAAAGAAAUUGAUUCGAUAAAAAAAUACGCUGAAGAACAUACCCAAAACCUGAAGAAGAAAGAGAGGCAACUUGAAGAUCAGAUCAAAGAGAUUGCGUUGAAGCAGAAAGAAAUUGAUUCGAUAAAAAAAUCAGCUGAAGAACAUACCCAAAACCUGAACACGAAAGAGAGGCAACUUGAAGAGCAGGCCAAAGAACUUGUAAUGAAGCAGAAAUCAAUUGAUUCAAUAAAAAAAGGCGCUGAAGAACAGACCCAAAUCCUGACAUCGAUAGAGAGGCAACUUGAUCACCGGGCGAAAGAGCUUGCAAUGAAGGAGAAAGAAUUGGAACAUACUAAUCAAUCCAUCAUCGAUAGGGAUGGUACAGGUGUGAAGCGUAGUACCGACACUUUUGACCCCAGCCGGUAUCAACAGCAACAACAGCACAAAAGCAAGUAUCCUCGGACAUGUGAAUCAGCUGCUACACCUUUUCCAGUGCCAAACUUCACCCCAGUCUAUCCGCGGCCAAACCCGUUAUCUUGGCAGUAUGAAAAUUAUGGACACUACGGGCACUCUGGUGCAGCUGCCAACAACUGUGAGUUUGAUGAUAGUUUUGGUCACAGUUUUGGUGGCAGUUACCGUGCCAUACCGAAUCCUGGAGUACGUUGCCCAUUGACAUAGUUUCGGUGCAAGUUUUGGUGAGAUUCUUACGUACAACUGGGGAUUAUAUAUAUCACGUUGUAGUAGUCGAGUUAGCAUCCGAUAUGUUAUCGUCUGAGCAAUGAUUGUACCUUAAGUGUGACACUGAAACACACGAACUGUGUACACGAUUAUAUUUAGAUCCAGAAGGCAUUUGAUAAGGCUUCAAUCCCUUGAAACAAUUUUUAAGUGAUUUUAUCCUUCAAAUUAAUAAAACUCAACAAAACCAAGAUUGAUCAAAGUAUAUACUCAUCUUAAACUUAGCCAAAAAACUCAAACGCGAUCGCGCUUGAUGAUUUGGCGGAGGCUUUUGGCCAAUCAAGUCUCAGAGUUCUUAAGUGUCUUAGGAGGUGAAAACUGCAAAGCUUGGAUCUCGCCCAAGAAGAUGGUGGACACCAUGCAAAUCUCAUUGCAGAAAAUCAACGUACUAUGCUAGCUCUUAAUUUGUAGUUUUAAUUCCUGGGGUUUUUGGUGGAAGCAACGGUGAAAUCAAAUUUGAGAUGAUAUGUGAAUUGGCGGGGAGGGAGGAUGAGUUGUGAGGACGAUGGCAUCAACCGGUUUUAUUUCCUGGAAUUUCCAGGAGGAAUCGAAAGAGGAGCAAAAUUCGAUCUAACCCUAUUUUGACGUCAGCACAUUAUUGUAAUAACCUUACACGCCAGCACAUUUAAUCUUAUUUUGACGGAAUAGACAGAACACCGUUAAAGUGGAGCAAAAAUCGUUUUCCAAGGUGUAAAAUGUGAUGUUUUUGUUUCAGAGGGAUAAGUGGGAUUAAGUUCGAGUUCCAGAGGCAUUGCAAAGAAUAAGCCCAAAGAUUAUGUCAAUUCUGCUUUUGUUUGGUUGGUUAAUUAAUAGAGAGAUCAGUGCAAAGAAAACAAGAAUUGCACAGAUGUGCGAAGCAACACAAAGUUAAAGGAUUACAAACACAAAUCCCUGAAGAACCAAAAGUUUGGAAGCCACUAGUUUGAGAGAAAUCCCAAAACGUUAUUCGUUUAUAUAUUGAAAUUAUGAGAUUACAUAGAUAGCGGAAGGGCUUAUAAAGAUACGAACACAACUCUAGAAAAACUCGGAGGCCUAGGAAAACUAAAAACGACAUAAUCUGGACGGUAAUGAAAAAGUCCGCUUUUUAUUACAUAAUUUGAAAUGUUGUUUUUGAAGCCUAAAUUGCCUUGGAUGACUAAAAUCCAUCAUCGUUAUGCAUAAUAAACCAAAGGUCUUCGUCCUCCUCUCUAAAGGCCCAUAGAUGCACCUUCUCACCUUCAACAAAUCUCUCCUUUUUCACAAUUUGUUUCCAACCAUAUGUUAAACUAAAUCCAUGAGUUUCCAGCUGGCGUAGGGUUAAUCUUUCUUGCACAAGCGAAGGCCCCAUGAAAAGUACUUCAAGUUUCUCGGUAAUGUCUACACCACAUAAGUAUUCAGUUGUCGGGAGCAGCGCUAGAGGCAGAAAAUCUUCGCUUAUAUUGUCUGCAGAAAAUGUCAACUCACCGAUGUACCUCCACUGUUGAGGACGCAUCCCACACCCAUUUAGUGCGUUGAGCAUAGCUUGAGGAACUUGAGCCAUCUUCUAAGUUAUGAGAAAAAAGUGACGUCUUUUGUGAAAUCGAGUGUAGGAUGUAUUUCUCCUCUACCAUUGCCUUCAUUUAUAGUAAACUAUGAGGAGAGAGAAACUUGUUUCCCAAUUAAUGCAAUGUCUGAGAAGAAAGAAUCACUAGAAUAAAGAGUAAUCUUAAAUCUAAAUUAUCUAAGAUUUACACAAUCCUACAUAUGCUAAAUAUUAAUUAAAAAAAUAUUUCCUAUUCCUUCCAACCUAACUUUCUUCUCACAGUAAGUUUGCAAUCCUAAGUCAAAAGAUAAACUCGUAUUAUUUAUUUUUGAAAAUAUCAAACCUUCCUAAUUACAGCACACGUAUAUAAUAUAAGUACUCAAACUUUCCUAAUUACAUCAAACACACCAAGGAAGAUAGUAAUGGGAAUGAAAUCAAGACUUCGAUUUGAACUAGGGCAAAAAGGGAUUGCAAUUGUUUGCUUGUGCAUCAAGUAAAAACGGGGGCAAUUACCUUUACAAUCGUUUACUUAUCUUGAGUGUCUCUACACCUUUUCCAGUGCCAACUUCACCCCCGUCUAUCCGCGGCCAAACCCGUCAUCUUGGCAGUAUGAAAAUUAUGGACACUACGGGCACUCUGGUACAGCUGCCAACAAGUGUGAGUUUGGUGAUAGUUUUGGUCACAGUUUUGGUGGCAGUUACCGUGCCAUACCGAUUCCUGGAGUACAUCGCCCAUUGACAUAGUUUCGGUGCAAGUUUAGGUGAGAUUCUUACGUACGACUGGGGAUUAUAUAUAUCACGUUGUGGUAGUCGAGUUAGCAUCCGAUAUGUUAUCGUCUGAGCAAAUGAUUGUACAUUAAGUGUGACACUGAAACACACGAACUGUGUACAGGACUAUAUAUAGAUCCAGAAGGCAUUUGAUAAGGCUUCAAUCCCUUGAAACAAUUUUUAAGUGAUUUUAUCCUUCAAAUUAAUAAAACUCAACAAAACCAAGAUUGAUCAAAGUAUAUACUCAUCUUAAACUUAGCCAAAAAACUCAAACGCGAUCGCACUUGAUGAUUUGGCGGAGGCUUUUGGCCAAUCAAGUCUCAGAGUUCUUAAGUGUCUUAGGAGGUGAAAACUGCAAAGCUUGGAUCUCGCCCAAGAAGAUGGUGGACACCAUGCAAAUCUCAUUGCAGAAAAUCAACGUACUAUGCUAGCUCUUAAUUUGUAGUUUUAAUUCCUGGGGUUUUUGGUGGAAGCAACAGUGAAAUCAAAUUUGAGAUGAUAAGUGAAUUGGCGGGGAGGGAGGAUGAGUUGUGAGGACGAUGGCAUCAACCGGUUUUAUUUCGUGGAAUUUCCAGGAGGAAUCGAAAGAGGAGCAAAAUUCGAUCUAACCCUAUUUUGACGUCAGCACAUUAUUGUAAUAACCUUACACGCCAGCACAUUUAAUCUUAUUUUGACGGAAUAGACUGAACACCGUUAAAGUGGAGCAAAAAUCGUUUUCCAAGGUGUAAAUGUGAUGUUUUUGUUUCAGAGGGAUAAGUGGGAUUAAGUUCGAGUUCCAAAGGCAUUGCAAAGAAUAAGCCCAAAGAUUAUGUCAAUUCUGCUUUUGUUUGGUUGGUUAAUUAAUAGAGAGAUCAGUGCAAAGAAAACAAGAAUUACACAGAUGUGCGAAGCAACACAAAGUUAAAGGAUUACAAACACAAAUCCCUGAAGAACCAAAAGUUUGGAAGCCACUAAUUUGAGAGAAAUCCCAAAGCAUUAUUCGUUUAUAUAUUGAAAUUAUGAGAUUACAUAGAUAGCCAAAGGGCUUACAAAGAUACUAACACAACUCUAGAAAAACUCAGGCCUUAGAAAACUAAAAACGACAUAAUCCGGAUGCUAAUGAAAAUGCCCGAUUUUUAUUACAUAAUUUGAAAUGUUGUUUUUGAAGCCUAAACUACUUGGAUGACUAAAUCUAAAAUCCAUCAUACUUUAUGCAUAAUAAACCGAAGGUCAUCGUCCUCCUCUCUAAAAACCCGUAGAUGUACCUUCCCACCUUGAACAAAUCUCUCCCUUCUCACAAUUUUACUCUUGCUUUGCAAAUACACAAUUUUCACAACUCGAACCCGUCACAAAUGAGCAACUUUAUGUUACAAAAAGGCUCGCCCUCUAUUAACACAAUUACACAAGGUAAAAUAUUAAUUACAAUUCAAAAAUGUCCAAAAUCUUUAACUAAUUAGAUACGAAGUUCAGAAAAUAUACACGUGGUAGUCCAGCUCACAAACUCAGAAAGAAGUUCUUUUGACUAAAUUUGCCCCCAAAAAAAGUUUUGAAUUAAAACUCAUAUUUGACCCAAUGGUUGUGCAAGUUAGGGUAAAUUUAGAACCUAAAAUCUGAGUUUUACUCGAAUGGUUAGAACAGGUCUAAAACUGGAAAAAUUUUAGGACCCAAACGUUUAAAGAACAUAUUACGCAAGUAUCAGCAUAGCAUAGGCAGGAAGUUGAUUAAAAAUGGUUCAAUACACAUCUCAUUCCAGCACAAAACAUAACAAGAUUCAAGCCAGUAUAGCAACUUAAAUAAUCCAUAAUGCACGGCCCCAAAACGAAAGAAAAAAGAACCCCCUAAACAUAAGCUGAUUUAAGUAAAACUGCUUAACUGAUUCAACUAAGUACCAUUCUAAAACUACAGGAACAACAAUCCAUAGUCGACGCUAUAUUGUUUAAGCCGUAGCAGCUGUUUGGGACGCUUGUCGCUUCUUUGCCUCUUCAAUGAUGCUUAGCUUGAUGCCCUUGCCCUUGGGAAGAGAAACCCAAGGCUUGGUACCCUUGCCGAUGGUGAACACAUUGCCAAGACGGGUUGCAAACUCAUGGCCGAGGGCAUCCUGCACGUGGAUGGUCUCAAAGCUUCCCUUAUGCUUCUCCCUGUUCUUAAUGACUCCAACACGUCCCCUAUUCCUACCGCCAGUCACCAUGACAACAUUACCAACAUCAAACUUAAUGAAGUCAGUGAUCUUGCUGGUCUCUACGUCCAGCUUAAUAGUGUCAUUGGCCUUGAUCAGCGGGUCAGGGUAGCGAAUGGUUCGGCCAUCAAAAGUGUUAAGAUAGGGGAUGCCCUUCUGCCCAAACUGCACCGACCGAACCUUGCAGAGCUUGAACUGCUCAUGGAAUUUAUAAUACCAAGUCAAAUAGGAAACUAUCUAGCCAACAAAACUCAACUAGAUAUAUUUCAGAGAGUACUCCUAACCACUGACAUGUCAAUAUUGAAAAAGGACAAACAGAGACUUAAAGAAACUUGAUUCCAAGAAAAAAGAUUAAACCGAAAUGUACAAAAUAAAAAUAGUGUAGCAGGUCCUAAUCUUUCAAUUUGUAGAAUUAGCUAACUGAAACACUGAUCCACCUGAUCAACCCAAUUGCGGCAAUAUGUUCUACCAUUCGAAACAAAAGUUAAAUCUGAACAGAUAAUCCAGUUAAACUAACCUAGCAACAUAAACGGUCAAACAAACUUCCUUUCCCGUUAAACUUUAGAUCUUUUCUGUUGCAUGUAAGAUUUAAACUUGAACAUUCAUUUCGUCAAGAACACAUAUUAACAACUAAGCUAACAAUAAUCCCAGUACACAAUGGCUAUAAUACACAUUAGUUAAACGAAAUGUACACAUUUCUACAAAACUAGCACCAACCUUUGCCUCCUCAUCUCUAAUGGAGUGAAGCCUAAACCGACCCUUUGUGUCAAAAAGCAGACGAAAAUUCUCGUUUGUUUUCGGGAUUGAAACAACAUCUGAAGACAAAUAAAACAACUUUAAGCACACUUCUAAGCAUCACAGAUACAUAGCAGAAAAUCAUUCUGCAAAAUAAAAAAAUGGAACUAAAAAUGGUGAAAUUGUUGAGAACAUACCCAUGAAGCCAGAAGGGUAAGUCUUGUCGGUCCUGACCUUUCCAUCAACCAAAAUAUGGCGCUGCAUGAGAAUCGAAACAACCUCACGGUAUGUGAGUGCAUACUUCAACCUGUUCCUCAGGAUAAGAACCAGGGGAAGGCACUCCCUGGAUUUGUGGGGCCCAGAUGAGGGCUUGGGGGCCUAAACAAACACAUUCGAAACAAAACUUCCAUUAAACCCAAAUUAAAAUCAGACCAAAAUUGAAGAUUUAAUGUAAAAAUUCAUCAUUUUUUCACUUGGAGUCCCAAGCAAACACAUUUGAAACCAAAUUUUACAUUAACCCCAAAUCAAACUGAAGCAAAAAUUGUAUAUUUACCGGGAAAAUUCUUCAUUUUUCAUUCGGGAGCCUUAAAAAACACAUUUAGUGAUAAAAUUUAAAUUAAACCCAUAUCACAAUGGAGGACAAGAUUGAAGCUUUAAUGAAAAUUUCUUCAAUUUUUUAAUUAGGGGAAGAGGUGUUAGUACUUACAAAAGCACCACCAAGCUUGUCGAGCAUCCAAUGCUUUGGGGCAUUGAGCCUCUUCAAAUGCUUCUUCAGUCCUCUGGCCUGCAAAACGCAACAUAAACCAACAGUUAACACACACAGCAGAGAUCUCUAGAGAGAGAGAGAGAGAGGUACCAUGUCUGCAGAGUGAGAUGCAGAAACCCUA